rnacentral:rRNA from 1 species
AGUACAUGUCGUUUCUAAUGACAUCUUUUAGAUGAAUGAUUCGUGUAAAUAUGCUAGUUCUUUCAUGAUUAUGUGAUAGGUGGGCAUGGCCGUUCUUAUUCGUGGAGUGAUCUGCUGCUUAAUUGCGUUCACUAUGGCCCCAAAGUUAGCAAGUUAUCCAAUCAUGACCUUCGUCGACCCCUCACCUUUGAGUGCGCGUCCUAGCUUAGAGUACAUGGUGUAAAUGGACUUGUUUUGGGUACCCAGAAAGCAACGAACGUGACCGCAACGUCUUGUUGUCUCUCUUUUGACAGUUAUGGGUAUCCCAGUCAUGUGCUUAUACUUUUAUGUGUAAAUACGUACGACACAGAGACUAGAUACCAAACUAGGCGUACCGCUGUAUCAUUUCUUUAAACCAGAGGAAGGUUGCGGCAAUAACAGGUCUGUGAUGCA